CUCCUCUCUACUCUUAUAUGCUCUCUCACCGGUACUUCCACGCCACCACCACCACCAUUUUCACCAUCAUUUUUCCAGCAAGACCACUGAAAAAAAAUCCUUAGGAACCCCUAAGCAUCAUCAUCCCUUUAUUUGAGGUUCUAGCUAAUCUCCUUGGAGCUUGGAGAGUUAGGCUUUUGUGGUUGCAAGUCUUUGUAAUAAUGGAAUCAGAUCCAGGUCAGUGCCCUUUCACUUUGGAUGACGUGUUCUUCCCUGCUACCUAUGGGGGGAAAAGGUUCCUUGAUUAUGUUUGGGUGAGGCUGCUGUCCAUGAGGCCAAAAGACCACAUGAAAAAGAGGUCCUAUUUGACGCACUCUAUUACCCAUGGGGGGAAAGAAAAACCAUGAGGGUAUGGGUGAGGCUGUUGUCCAUAAGGCCAAGAGUCUACAUACCAGAGAGGAAAAUAUCAUGCCAGUUGUGAAUGGGUGAAUCCCUUGACCGAUCUAUGUGGUAGUGUGGUAUAUAUAUGAUCAUUUACCUUUUGUUAGAUAUUAUGGCUUUGGAAAUUAUAUUGUUGGUGCUCACAGAUUAUAGUAUAUAGUUUCAAGGUAUUUAC